AAAAAAAUCUCACCAUCGAAGAGCAGCAUGAUUUUUUCCGGGUUGCUCACUAGUUACGAAUUUGGUCUCAUUUUCGGAGUAUAUAAUUGAUCAUAUUGACGCCCGAGGUCAGGUAGAUGCGGUAUAUAACGACUUCAGCAAGGCCUUCGACAAAAUUUACCACGAAAAACUCUUGGAGAGGCUUGCUGAGGUCGGUGUAGGUGGUGUAGAUCGUAUAUCUUUCCGGUAGAGUUAUAUAUGUUUCUGUUGCGGGUCGUAAGUCCGAAUUAUUUGGCAUAGCCUCGGAUGUGCCCCAAGGGAGCCAUCUAGGACCCCUCAUUUUAUAAUCUACAUUAAUACUAUAAAAACUUGUUUCCACCAUUGCCUAUCUGAUACUUCUCUACGGGGACGAUUUGAAAAUCUAUCGAUAUGUUGAAACCAUGGAGGAUUGUUUCAUAAUACAAGAAGAUUUGCAAUGGUUGAAUGAAUUUUGUCAGCGUAACUUCUUAAUUAUGAAUACCUCAAAAUGUUAUUCUAUCUCAUUCACGAAAAAAGUUAAUAAAAUCAAAUACUUAUAUGAACUUGAUAAUGAGCCAGUUAGAUACUCGAGUGAGGCAGUUGAUUUAGGAGUUACCUACACUUGACGGGAAGUGGUCAUUCAGGACAUAUAUAGAAAAGACAAUUAAUGCGUCCAAUAGGUUGGUUGGAUUCAUCAACAGAAACAGUAGAGAUUUCAAUAACUCUUGUUGCUUAUUUCUCUAUAUUACCUAUUCUUUCAUUCAUAGCAGGCUAUCCUUUGCAUCUGUUGUCUGGAGCCCAAAAUAUGACAUUCAUAUAAAAAAAUUCAGCGAGUACAGAAUAAAUUUUUGAAAUUCCUUGCCAUUAAAACACAUAUUUAAAUUAAAGAUAGAAACUACAAUCCUUUAAUACAUAAAUUCAAAAUCUUGGACCUCGAGGAUGAUAGAAAUAAUCAGAUUUAGAGUACCUGGUCGCGAUGUUAGGAAUAGAAGCCUUUUCAACAUUCCUUAUCGUAGAACGAAUAGGGGACAGCACCCUCCGAUGAUACAUUUGCAGGCCGCCUUUGACUCCCUCAACUUCAGCGAAUUUAUAGGCAUUUUUGCUAACGAGUGUGAUAAUUUAAAAAAUUUCUUGAAAACUUCUCCUUUGACUCUUACUGUGAAGUAAAUCAAUAAUCAUAUAUUAAUUGUGACUUAUCUACUCUGUAAUUUGUGGUUGCUUUGUUGGUCUUUGUACUGUUCACAACCUAAAUGUACAAUAAAUAAAUAAAAAGGAGUUUCGAAAAAUUUCAAAAUAUAGGGACUAGAAUUUCAGAUAAAGCGUCAGUGAGGAAUGAUAUCAACGAAAACUAUUCCAAUUAUCAUCUCAACAACUGAAAUAAUACCCAAAAAUCUCAAGAAGAAUAUCAAGCAACUAGUGAGUUUAUCUGUAAUAUAAUGCAAAAAGCAUCUUUUAGGUACUGCAAGACGGUGAGAAAAUUGCUGGGGGGGACGGACAGGGAUAGAUCCAAGGAUCGGCGAGAUUAUGUGAAAAAGGACCAGAAGUUUGACGAGGACCAGGGGGACCACAAGGACUGGACACGACAGAGCUCUAUCCUUAUGAUAUUCUAAAUAUACCAACUAUAGAGCUGUAUAAACCUUCAGUAAAUAUCUUAUAAAGCACUAUAUUAUGUUUUAGGAACUAAUCUUAUGUAAUACAUUUUGGUUUAUAUCAUGAUUUACGAUAAUUAUAGAUAUUUUUGUAA